UAGUAGCCCUGAUCGCAGCGACAUCCUUUUAUCUUGUCUCGUUUUUAGAACGAGACAAGAUAAAAGAUAUAGCGUAGAGCAGGAGGGAUG
rfam:Flavobacterium frigoris strain DSM 15719 genome assembly, contig: Ga0131223_101